CCUACGGGUGGCAGCAGUGGGGAAUAUUGGGCAAUGGGCGCAAGCCUGACCCAGCAACGCCGCGUGAAGGAAGAAGGCUUUCGGGUUGUAAACUUCUUUUCUCAGGGACGAAGCAAGUGACGGUACCUGAGGAAUAAGCCACGGCUAACUACGUGCCAGCAGCCGCGGUAAGACGUAGGUGGCAAGCGUUAUCCGGAUGUACUGGGUGUAAAGGGAGUGUAGGCGGGGACGCAAGUCAGAAGUGAAAACCACGGGCUCAACCUGUGGCCUGCAUUUGACACUGUGUGUCUGGAGUACAGGAGAGGCAGAUGGAAUUCCUAGUGUAGCGGUGAAAUGCGGAGAUAUUAGGAGGAACACCAGUGGCGAAGGCGGUCUACUGGACAGCAACUGACGGUGAGGCGCGAAAGCGUGGGGAGCAAACAGGAUUAGAUACCCCGGUAGUC
rnacentral:rRNA from 1 species